rnacentral:ribozyme from 13 species
UCUUCUUCUUCUUCUCCACCUGUACUGCGUUGAGAAAAUCUUGAUGUUCUCGUAGGUUGUGGGGGUUUGGGUUUCUUCGAAAAAAUAUUCUUCGAAAUAGGAACUUCUUUUCCUUUCUUUUUUAAUAAUUUUUGAUAUGAAACAGAAAAA